rnacentral:lncRNA from 1 species
AUGAUAAAGUCGACUUACGCUUCCAUUCUUGCUCUGAUUCUUUGGAUGAUGAUUCGUAAGAAAAGAUCCGGUGUCAGAAGAGCGACUGAUGACUCUGUGGAGCAGACAGAUGAUGUGACUUAUACUGAAGUUACUGCGUUCAGUAAAAACAGAGCCAAAAAGAACAAGGUUCACUGUGAUGAUAAAGUGACUUACGCUUCCAUCGGAGGAGCAAAAUCUGGAGCUCAGGAAGACUGCAGUCAACUUUACGCUUCUGUGACCAAGAACCAUCACAAAUCAGGAAAAUUAUCAUACAAUCAUCACACCAGCAACAGCUUGAUCUGCUGUGUUUUCACUGAUGUUUAG